GUGUCCCUAGUGAAUUUCUGUUGUAAAAUUUACGUAGUAAUUUAUUCAUAGUUUAGUGUUUUGGUUCCUGUAGUAGAUUUAUGUUAGUGAGCGUCUAUGUGUCUGCCUGAGUGCAGUGUCGAUUUUUCGAGGAUAUGAUGUUCCCCAGGAACUUGAUGUUUAUAGUAAAAUAUUCUUGUUCGUACAUGGCCGUUGUUUCAUCAUUUUAAUAGACGCCACAGCAACGAUGUCAGUGCUCCAGUUGUCUGUGAAGCAGACUCAGUCUCAGACUCAGCAGACGCAACACAUCAACCUUUCCAUGGAAAACUGUCUGCUCCAAUGAUAAAAUUAGAUGAGAUUUGUAAUGUUURAAUCUGAUCAAUAAUUAUAAACAGCAAUAAAAUAC